rnacentral:tRNA from 1 species
GUCGUGGUGGCGGAACUGGUAGACGCGCCAGCUUUAGGAGCUGGUGUCCAAAAGACGUGAGAGUUCGAGUCUCUCCCACGACA